UGUAGCUAGGUAUUAAAAAAAUCUUAAAUGAUAUUGUCAUUUAAUCAAUGCCUUUUUGCAUGUAUGCGCAUUUCAUCUGUAUAGAAUUUGAUAUUGGAGUUAAUGACUAGAUUGCAGCAUUUCAUUUGUCGAGAGUUUACACGAUUUGAAGGCAUAAAUCAUACACUCACAUGGAAGAAUUUAGUGGUGGUACUAUCAAAAUUCAAAUAAUUUUUUCAAAUGUGUCACCGAGUUUUUAUUGUUUAUGGAUAUGUUGUUUCUCAUGAAGGAUAUUGGGACCAUGGGGUGUGUCAUCAAAAUUGGCAUAUUAAAUUGUUUUAACUAUUGCUGCUUUGUGUUGCGGUACACUAUUGCACUGCACAAUCUUCUGCAGAUGUUUGUCUUGCUAAAACGGUCAUGUUGAUAUUUGGGAUGGGUCUCUACGGUCUCUUCGUCAGCAACGCUUCCGCGGAUGUUCGUUCUGAAUCCGACCGUGCCCUGAGCGGAUCAUCACUGUUCGGGGUGUUCGCUUUGAAGAUAACCGUCAGAAUUUGAAAUCUCCAUCAUUUUUAUAUACCUUUUGAAGUACAGUAUAUAGAAGCAAGCCAUAUUAUUCUGUUUGCUUACAACCAUUAUUACUCAUUAAAGAAUUAAAGAUCCAAUGUCUAUCUCGGACAGGGUGGCGAGGCGGGAGAGGAGUACGCGGGAGCGGUAGGCGAGCCGUGGAGGAGGAUAUGGAGGUCACCGAAGAGGAAGAAAGGGAAGUUGUGGACUCUGAUGUGGAGGGUUUCAUUGUUUUGAUGAGUUUACAUUACAGGUUGCUUUUCUUAAAUCAAGAAAAGGUUUUGUCAAGAUAGCUAUACAGUAUGGAUGUCCUUUAGUCCCAGUUUUCUGCUUUGGGCAGAGCUAUGCAUACAAGUGGUGGAGGCCUGGUGGUAAAUUGUUUAUCAAGAUCGCUAGAGCAGUUAAAUUUACUCCUAUUAUCUUCUGGGGUAGAUUUGGCACACCAUUCCCCUUCCCAAAACCCAUGCAUGUGGUCGUGGGUAAACCUAUUGAAGUCAAUAAGAUUCCCCAUCCUACAAUUGACGAGGUAGGUUUCUGGAUUUAAUCAAAACCACUUUUUUGAGAGAAACAUUUU